GAUGAACGCUAGCGACAGGCUUAACACAUGCAAGUCGAGGGGCAGCACGGGAGUAGCAAUACAACUGGUGGCGACCGGCGCACGGGUGAGUAACGCGUAUGCAACCUACCUAUCAGAGGGGAAUAACCCGGCGAAAGUCGGACUAAUACCGCAUAAAACAGGGGCACCGCAUGGUGAUAUUUGUUAAAGAGAUUCGCUGAUAGAUGGGCAUGCGUUCCAUUAGGUAGUUGGUGAGGUAACGGCUCACCAAGCCGACGAUGGAUAGGGGAACUGAGAGGUUGGUCCCCCACACUGGUACUGAGACACGGACCAGACUCCUACGGGAGGCAGCAGUGAGGAAUAUUGGUCAAUGGGCGGGAGCCUGAACCAGCCAAGUCGCGUGAAGGAAGAAGGUCCUAUGGAUUGUAAACUUCUUUUAUAGUAGAAUAAAGUGAUCCACGUGUGGAUUUUUGUAUGUAUACUAUGAAUAAGGAUCGGCUAACUCCGUGCCAGCAGCCGAC
rnacentral:rRNA from 1 species